GAAGCCAUUUUUAUUCAAACCAUCACAAUGCCUCUGACCCCAUCCCAACAGGUCCUUCACCCAAACGCUACCCAAGAAUUCCUUCUGGGACUUACUACUACCCUCCAAUCCCUCCACCCCCACCCUCACCCCCACACCCCAACCUCGCUCAUGGGCAGUCAGUUAGUCUUCAGGGAAACGAAAACAGUUCUGCCCUAUGAAAAUGCCAAGGCUUGUGUCUGCCAAGUCACCCACCCAGAACAUGCUGACUCAAAACUGAAAUGGGUUCUUCUUUUCCACGAAACUGUGAGUAGACUGGACUCCGCUGAAUGGCUUAGCUAGCCUCGGUGAAUGGCUACCUCCAUUUGCGAGUUUGGUUGAAACUGGAGAAAUGUCCAAAAUAGACUCCUUCAGAGCCUCCUUCUA